UACAGGGGGGGCAAGCGUUGUUCGGAAUUACUGGGCGUAAAGGGUUCGUAGGUGGCCAACUUAGUCAGACGUGAAAUCCCUCAGCUUAACUGGGGAACUGCGUCUGAUACUGGAUGGCUUGAGUGCAGGAGAGGAACGCGGAAUUCCAGGUGUAGCGGUGAAAUGCGUAGAUAUCUGGAGGAACACCGGUGGCGAAGGCGGCAUUCUGGACCGACAUUGACGCUGAGGAGCGAAAGCCAGGGGAGCAAACGGG
rnacentral:rRNA from 1 species